rnacentral:lncRNA from 1 species
GUCAAAAGUUGAGAAAGAUAUGUAUGCAAAAGUGUUUUGUAUGCAUGAAUGAAAAAUGAGUUUAGAACUAGUAUGACAUAUUAUUUCUUCAUUUAAAAGUAUGUUUAUCUUUUGUUUUUCAAUGGUUGAAAAAUAUAAAUCAAGAGUUGAAAAGAUAUGCAUGUAAAAGUUGUUUUGUAUGCAUGAAUGAAGAAUAAGUCAUGAACAAAAAAAUUUGGGAUUUUGUUCUUCUUGGUGGGCACGGUUUUGGGGGUUUUUGUGUAUGUGUUUGUGUUUUAUUGUAAGACACUCACACAUCAUUUUAAAGCUAGAAAGUAGAACCCUUGUCACUUUUGUUUUUGGGUUUGAAAAAUCACCAAGAAUACAUAAAUCUUGAAAAAGUGUUCAUGGUUUUGUUCUUGGUGUUCAUAGUUUGGUUUUUUGGUGAAAAUGGUUUUAAUUAAUUUUCUUGUAUUAUUUUGUGGUUUUGGAUGAUGUUCUUACCAUCCAUAACCAUAUAAUAAGUUUAUUAAAACCUAGACUUGACUAGGAGAUUUCCAUCAAACAUUUUCACCUAAGUUUUAAUGCCAAAACCAAGUGACAAGCAAAAUUUUGAUUUUUUCUACUUUGCAUUGAAUUUAUGCAUGUGGGUGAGACUUCCCAUUCCCCCAUUAAGUGGCCGGCCUCCCCUAGUGGAUUUAUCCACUUGUGAGGCUUUUUGUAAUCUUGAAAAAGAUAUUUUAUACUUUUGAGUAUUUACGGUUUGACCCCUAACUUUUUCAUAUUUGCAUUUAAGCCCCUACUAACUAGAAAGUUAAAAUAUUUGAUUUUAAUUUUGUUAGUUGUUUAAACUCAUAAUACUAUUAUGCCCAUAUGCACUAAAUCUAAAUGUUUAUGUUGCAUUCCAUUUAAUUAUUUAAAUGUGUUUAAGUAGUUAUGAAAUGGAUGACUUUGGACUUAUGCCUUAAACGAUAAUUGAGCUAUAUGAUAAGGCGCUAAAAUCAAAUUGUUUGAACCUUGGGAAUGUGUUUUAAUUACUGUUUAAUUGGACCUUGUCACAUUUGACAUUAAUCUUUCUCUCCCUUUUAGUAUAUGUAAUUUAUAGGAAAUUUGUACAAAUCGGUUUGUAAUUCUUAUUACUUCUUAAUCUCUAUUCAUUAGUGGAUUCCCUCUAGUGCUAGACUAGAGUUUCUUUAACUAUUGGUAAAGGAGACAUAACUAAAAGAGGGUUUUGACAUGAGAUUAAAGAUUAAAAGGGUCCAAUGCCCAAAUUAGCUUUGAAUGAUUGUCUUUCAUUUCUAAUGGCUCAAUGAAAAUGGUUUUAAUUGGAUUGAUAAGCACGUAAUUAAAUUGACUCAACCUCCCCGAGUUUAUAUUCAACAAUGAUGGCUCGUUGUUGCAAUAACCUAAUAAGUCCAUGGUCAUCCAAGAGCCUAAGAUAACUAUAAAGUCCAAUUUCAAAGGAAUGCAAAAACCUUAGUAGUAGUAGUUACUUCCAAUAUUUGAAAAAUUCGUUUUUGAUAUUGAUUUGUUUUUCUCAAAACAAAUAGUGGGAGUAUCAUACGCUACUAAACUAUAAUGAAUACAAUUAGUAGUUAUAUAUAUAUCUCCAAUAUUUUGAAAAAAUGUUUUGAUAUUGAUUUGUUUUAUGAAAACGAAUAGUGGGGAUAUUAUAUGCUACUAAUUUCAUUAACUUUGGACUAGUAGUUGUAAUGGAACAUUAUUUAUUUGAUUGUGAUUAAAUAAAUAAAAUUGAUGAGACCUUAAAAUCCCUCAACCAAACAAAUAUUAAGUUGAAAGCGUAAGAGUGCUUAGAACACUUUUUCGUGGCCUUCCACCGUGGUAGGCUCCAAGCAUUUAUGACUUGUACACCGCCUUCACCCUAUCAUGGGGAAGUGACAAAGUGCAUGCUUAUAUUCAGGAGGAGUUUAUUUAAAACAUUUGAUGAGGUUAAGGUGGGCAACGAGUAUGGCCAACAUCGUAUCAUCGUGAGGUCAUGCUUGAACCCCUAGCUAAACCGGCAUGGUGGGAAAAGAACUUAACUAAGAGAACAUAAUGCCAACAUCGUAUCAUCGUGAGGUAUUGUUUUCUAGAGGCCAAAAGGAUGGGUAAUCACAAGAGGUUGUUGUGAAUGGGUAAUUGUACCCUCUCAUUAUUAUUGUU